rnacentral:lncRNA from 1 species
GAAACUCUUUAAUCGUAUCACUGGGGACACUUAACUAGGGACGAAAACGUUGUACCUAGUUGUUGACGUUUCCUUCGUGCGACCUUCCCGCCUUGUGCCAUUGCGUGCCGCUAGUCCUAUGGAGGGAGAUGGGAAAUGGGCGGCAGCUAUGAGGGGAAGAUUGUGGAUGGCGGUGGGCAGGUGAAGAUUUGGGAUGGGGGGUCUUUUCAAAUUUGUUUGUUGCUGAUGUUUGCUUCAAUUAGAAGGAUCGCUGCUCGGAAGCUUUGAAGAUUAAGAGUCUCAAGAAAGCAAGAUCUGAAGAGCAGUAAGAGUAACUUUACGUUGGAGAAAGGCAAGUGUCCCUAACCAUCCUUCUACCUAUACUUUGUUCAUAAUAUCAUGAUUAUGUUAAUUGGAACAUGGAGAACCACCUAGAAAAACAGUGCAACCACAAGAACUAUCAUGGUUCUAGUCUUGGCUAAUUAAUUAGAGACUCUAGUCUGAGGUAAUCUUACUAAAAGGGCAAAAGGGGUGGCAGUUGAUGGGGUAUAACUCGAUUCUCUUGGGGAGUGUGCUUUGCUAAGACACUACAUCCACUAGGGUGGCUUAUGCUCUACUACUGCCUCGGAAACCUUAGCAGGUUACCACUUACUAGCGAAUCUUUAUAAAGGCCUCGUAGCAUCCCUAUGCAAUCACACCUCGGAAGUGUGGUAUGGUGCCUAGCUAGCACUGCAUGGUUGGGUCCAAAGUUCUCUGAACUUUACGCGACUUGUGGGUAAAGAUGUACAACCUUUGCAGAGUGUAAAACUGAUAUAUCAGCCGUGCUCACGGUUAAGAGUGGCCUGAACCCUCACAUGAUUAAUUAAACUUGAAUAUUGACUUAAAUCGUUAUUCUGGUUAUUUCCUGUAGCCUUGUU